ACGUUUCUUAACCAAGUCCGGGAAAAUACCAUGACAUUGGCUCCAACUUGGAUGGCUGACCUUGAGUUCUUCUGUCUCAUAGACCCCUCUUAUUAGUGAAUUAAAUGUGUAUUAAUAUUAAAGCAAAACAAAAAAAAAUACAUCCCUAUGUAAUAACACUUUUCUGGUGCCAUAGCCAACUGCUUGAAGCUAGAUACUUUAUAUAGAAAAGGGGUUUAUCUCUCUUACAGUGCUGGAGGCUUGGGAAUGUACUGUCAGUCAUUUUCAAAUCUACUUAGAGCCUCUAGGUGAAUGACAUCACACAGCGGUGGCAACACAUGUCAAACUCAAGAGCAGUAUGUACAGAAAAAAAAAAUGGCGGCACCAGCUUAUCCCAAAGGAAUAAUUCCAAUUAUGCCAGAUACACAUUGAUUGUUUCUGGAGGUGUUACGCACAUGACAACUACCACCAGGCCAUACCACUUAAAGGGUCCCUACCUCAGAAUAUGUCCAACUUGGAAAAGCAUUUGAGUGUAGCAUCAUAGAGGCAGAUGUAAUCAUUAAUAUCUCCCUUUUUCCCCCUAAAAGAACUAUGGCUGUCUGGUAUGCCGCAGUUGAUAACAUGUCAGUUGUUUAACAAUAGAUAUUUCGCCUCUCUAUCCACUAUCAGGCGAUUGACUUCCUACAAAAGCAAAAGACAACUCAUUCAGUCCCUGGCUAAUUUUACAAAGUUCCUCUGUCUUUUUCUUUUUUCAGAACCUAGUAACUUAUGCUGUACUUAUGAAGCCAAAGCAUUGAUUUUCCCAUAAGCCUCAGCAGGAUAUGUGACUUCUCAUAGAGCAUCAUUUUAUAUGCUUUCUUCUGUUAAUAUUUUGAAAAGUUGUGGACAUGUUAUUUUGUUGAUUUCUGAUAACUUGGUCCUGACAUUUUUUUAAUAACCAGUCUUCCAUAAUAAAUAGUCACUACAAAUAA